AAUCUGCCUGGUAGUGGGGGAUAACGCUCGGAAACGGACGCUAAUACCGCAUACGUCCUACGGGAAAAAGCAGGGGACCUUCGGGCCUUGCGCUAUCAGAUGACCCUAGGUCGGAUUAGCUAGUUGGUGAGGUAAUGGCUCACCAAUGCGACCAUCCUUACCUGGUCUGAGAGGAUGAUCACUCACACUGGAACUGAAACACGGUCCAGACUCCUACGGGAGGCAGCAGUGGGGAAUAUUGGACAAUGGGCGAAAGCCUGAUCCAGCCAUGCCGCGUGUGUGAAGAAGGUCUUCGGAUUGUAAAACACUUUAAUUUGGGAGGAAGGGCAUUAACCUAAUACCUUGGUGUCAUGA
rnacentral:rRNA from 1 species